rnacentral:rRNA from 1 species
GAUGAACGCUGGCGGCGUGCCUAAUACAUGCAAGUCGAGCGAACGGACGAGAAGCUUGCUUCUCUGAUGUUAGCGGCGGACGGGUGAGUAACACGUGGAUAACCUACCUAUAAGACUGGGAUAACUUCGGGAAACCGGAGCUAAUCCCGGAUAAUAUUUUGAACCGCAUGGUUCAAAAGUGAAAGACGGUCUUGCUGUCACUUAUAGAUGGAUCCGCGCUGCAUUAGCUAGUUGGUAAGGUAACGGCUUACCAAGGCAACGAUGCAUAGCCGACCUGAGAGGGUGAUCGGCCACACUGGAACUGAGACACGGUCCAGACUCCUACGGGAGGCAGCAGUAGGGAAUCUUCCGCAAUGGGCGGAAGCCUGACGGAGCAACGCCGCGUGAGUGAUGAAGGUCUUCGGAUCGUAAAACUCUGUUAUUAGGGAAGAACAUAUGUGUAAGUAACUGUGCACAUCUUGACGGUACCUAAUCAGAAAGCCACGGCUAACUACGUG